rnacentral:rRNA from 1 species
GAUGAACGCUGGCGGCGUGCCUAAUACAUGCAAGUCGAGCGAAGCGGCGGUUGGGUGAGUAACGCGUGGGUAACCUGCCCUUAAGUCUGGGAUUCCAUUUGGAAACAGAUGCUAAUACCGGAUACUUAAGGAUGGACAUGCGAUGCAUUAGCUAGUUGGUAAGGUAACGGCUUACCAAGGCGAUGAUGCAGAGCUGAGUUGAGAGACUGAUCAGCCACAUUGGGACUGAGACACGGCCCAGACGCCUACGGGAGGCAGCAGUGGGGAAUCUUCCACAAUGGGCGAAAGUCUGAUGGAGCAACGCCGCGUGAGUGAAGAAGGUUUUCGGAUCGUAAAGCUCUGUUGUUGGUGAAGCGGUAAUCAACCAGAAAGUCACGGCUAACUACGUGCCAGCAGCCGCGGUAAUAC